rnacentral:rRNA from 1 species
CGCGUAGGCGGUGGUAUAAGUCUGAGGUGGAAUCCUAUAGCUUAGCUAUAGGACUGCCUUGGAAACUGUAUUACUUGAGUCGGACAGGGGAAGGCGGAAUUCCUGGUGUAGCGGUGAAAUGCGUAGAUAUCAGGAGGAAGGCCUGUGGUGAAGACGGCCUUCUGGGUCUUGACUGACGCUGAGGCGCGAAAGCGUGGGUAGCAAACAGGAUUAGAUACCCUGGUAGUCCACGCCCUAAACGGUGGGUACUAGGUGUGGGAUCUGUAAGGGUUCUGUGCCGAAGGGAAACCAUUAAGUACCCCGCCUGGGAAGUACGGCCGCAAGGUUGAA